ACGGAAGGCAGCAGUAGGGAAUAUUGCACAAUGGGGGAAACCCUGAUGCAGCAACGCCACGUGUGGGAAGAAGCAUUUCGGUGUGUAAACCACUGUCGUGAGGGAAUAAUGCUUGGCCUUGGCCAAGUUGAAUGUACCUCGAAAGGAAGCACCGGCAAACUUCGUGCCAGCAGCCGCGGUAAUACGAGGGGUGCAAGCGUUGUUCGGAAUCACUGGGCGUAAAGGGAGCGCAGGCGGAGAUGCAAGCAGUCUGUACAAUCCCGGGGCCCAACCCCGGACCUGCAGUCUGGACUGUUUCUCUUGGAUAGUUCAGGGGCAAGCGGAAUUCCUGGUGUAGCGGUGGAAUGCGUAGAGAUCAGGAAGAACACCGAUGGCGAAGGCAGCCAGCUGGGGGCUUAUCGACGCUCAUGCUCGAAAGUGCGGGUAGCAAACAGGAUUAGAUACCCUGGUA
rnacentral:rRNA from 1 species